GAUCUAGGAGCUUGUAUUUAAGCGUCUGAUUGUUGCUCAGAAUAAGGUUGUUAGUUGACCCUAGAUCU
rnacentral:tRNA from 3 species